CUACGGGAUGCUGCAGUGAGGAAUAUUGCACAAUGGGGGGAACCCUGAUGCAGCAACGCCGCGUGGAGGAUGACGCAUUUCGGUGUGUAAACUCCUUUUAUAUGUCAAGAAAAUGACGGUAGCAUAUGAGUAAUCACCGGCUAACUCCGUGCCAGCAGCCGCGGUAAUACGGAGGGUGCAAGCGUUACUCGGAAUCACUGGGCGUAAAGGACGCGUAGGCGGGUUGGAAAGUCAGGAGUGAAAUCCUACAGCUUAACUGUAGAACUGCACUUGAAACUUCUAAUCUAGAGUAUGGGAGGGGGAGAUGGAAUUAGUGGUGUAGGGGUAAAAUCCGUAGAUAUCACUAGGAAUACCUAAAGCGAAGGCGAUCUCCUGGAACAUUACUGACGCUAAGGCGUGAAAGCGUGGGGAGCAAACAGGAUUAGAUACCCCAGUAGUC
rnacentral:rRNA from 1 species